rnacentral:lncRNA from 1 species
AGAAACGAAGCAGAAAUGAAUCGCUGUGUCUUUGGAACUGACAGAGGCCCAGGCUCCUUGCCCCUAUCGUGUCUCUGCACUUAAGUCCAUGCUGAGUACCCCAGCUAUGGCCUCUCUGUCCCAGCCAUGGCCUCUCUGUCCCUGCUGUGGCUUCUCUGCCCCAGCCAUGGCCUCUUUUUCCCAGUUGCGGCUUCUCUGUUCCAGCUGUGGCCUCUCUGCCCAGCCGUGGCUUCUCUGUCCUGAUUGUGGCCGCUGUGUCCCAACCGUGGCCUCUUUGUCCCAGCUGUGGCCUCUCUGUCCCAGCCGUGGCCCCUCUGUCCCAGCCGUGGUCUUUCUGCCCCUGCUGUGGCCUCUGUGCCCCCGCCCAUGCUGACAUGUGGCAGUUUUCCGGCACCUUGCUCUGUCCUAUUACUGGCUUUGGCUAUGCUCUAUGCUCUGCCUGGAAAGCCCUUCCUCUUUCUUGGGCCAAAUCCUACUCAUCCUAAGAU